rnacentral:rRNA from 1 species
CCUACGGGGGGCAGCAGUGAGGAAUAUUGGACAAUGGGGGCAACCCUGAUCCAGCCAUGCCGCGUGUGUGAAGAAGGCCCUCGGGUUGUAAAGCACUUUCAGUGAGGAAGAACGCCUGGUGGUUAAUACCCAUCAGGAAAGACAUCACUCACAGAAGAAGCACCGGCUAACUCCGUGCCAGCAGCCGCGGUAAUACGGAGGGUGCGAGCGUUAAUCGGAAUUACUGGGCGUAAAGCGCGCGUAGGUGGCUUGAUAAGCCGGUUGUGAAAGCCCCGGGCUCAACCUGGGAACGGCAUCCGGAACUGUCAAGCUAGAGUGCAGGAGAGGAAGGUAGAAUUCCCGGUGUAGCGGUGAAAUGCGUAGAGAUCGGGAGGAAUACCAGUGGCGAAGGCGGCCUUCUGGACUGACACUGACACUGAGGUGCGAAAGCGUGGGUAGCAAACAGGAUUAGAUACCCGUGUAGUC